rnacentral:rRNA from 1 species
GGGGAAACGAUAUUGGAAGCUUGCUUCCGAUAGGCGUCGACCGGCGCACGGGUGAGUAACGCGUAUCCAACCUGCCCACCACUUGGGGAUAACCUUGCGAAAGUAAGACUAAUACCCAAUGACGUCUCUAGAAGACAUCUGAAAGGGAUUAAAGAUUUAUCGGUGAUGGAUGGGGAUGCGUCUGAUUAGCUUGUUGGCGGGGUAACGGCCCACCAAGGCGACGAUCGGUAGGGGUUCUGAGAGGAAGGUCCCCCACAUUGGAACUGAGACACGGUCCAAACUCCUACGGGAGGCAGCAGUGAGGAAUAUUGGUCAAUGGACGCAAGUCUGAACCAGCCAAGUAGCGUGCAGGAUGACGGCCCUAUGGGUUAGUAAACUGUCUUUUAUGCGGGGAUAAAGUGUGGGACGUGUCCCAUUUUGUAGGUACCGCAUGAAUAAGGACCGGCUAAUUCCGUG